rnacentral:rRNA from 1 species
AGUGAACGCUGGCGGUAGGCCUAACACAUGCAAGUCGAACGACAGCACAGUAAGAUCUUGCUCUUACGGGUGGCGAGUGGCGGACGGGUGAGGAAUACAUCGCAAUCUACUUUUUCGUGGGUGAUAACGUAGGGAAACUUACGCUAAUACCUCAUACAACCUACGGGUGAAAGCAGUGGAUCUUCGGACCUUUCGCGAUUGAAUGAGCCGAUGUCGGAUUAGCUAGUUGGCUGGGUAAAGGCCCACCAAGGCGACGAUACGUAGCUGGUCUGAGAGGAUGAUCAGCCACAAUGGAACUGAGAAACGGUCCAGACUCCUACGGGAGGCAGCAGUGGGGAAUAUUGGACAAUGGGCGCAAGCCUGAUCCAGCCAUACCGCGUGGGUGAAGAAGGCCUUCGGGUUGUAAAGCCCUUUUGUUGGGAAAGAAAAGCAGCAGGUUAAUCCACCGCUGUUCUGACGGUACCCAAAGAAUAAGCACCGGCUAACUUCGUG